AAGCGUGUGUGUGUGUGUGUAUAUGUGAGUGUCUGGAUAUGGGUGGGUGGGUGGUGGACUGGAUAUGUUUAGAGAUGAACUUUAAGCUGAUGGAUGCCAACAGCUGACUUACUAUUUUACAGAGUGACGUGGUGGUGGGUGAGAAGGGCCCAGGCAGGAAUGUAAAACGCUUGGCUGACUCUCCCUCUGCCGUGUCCUGGGAGAGUGGAUCUAUUUCUAUCAGUCUAUUUAUCGAUCUGUUCAUAUCUGUUUUUAUCUAUUUUCUGUGGGUCUCAGUGCCUGCCGUUUUAUACACUACAUCAGGUGUGUAUUAGACAAUCAUAGGAGUUAAUAGCAUUUGUAAAACAUAACCAUAACCUAAUAGUUUUAAAAAGGUUAAUUGCAAUUUUGCAAACAGUGCUAGUCCAUAGUGUAUUACCUACUUGCAAUUAACGAACGAAUGAUUGAAAGAUUCCUUUUGACAUGGCCUUCACUGAUAUUGUGCUGAACUAUAAAUUUAUGUUACGAUAUUUCCAUUUAUGUUCCCACGGUUCUCAUUAAUAUUGUGCUUAAUUUUACAUUGGCUCAUCUAUCCUAAUGAUAGAGCAUGGAGUAUGAUAACGGUUUAUACCAUAUAGGAUUGUAUUUGACAAAACCCAAUUUAAAAGAUUUAGAUACACUCCAUGAUUUCAUGAAGUGUAAUCCCUUCUAGCUCACUGUUUAAACAUGUUUAGAACGUUAGCUGUGUUCUAUUUCAAGCUUGGGCUGCAAAUUGUUAAAAAAAAAAGAGUUACUGAGUAAUUCAAUAAGAAUACACUUUUAAAAGCAAGUGUACUAUAAAAACCUACAAAAUUGCCUCAGCAUGUAACACUGUUGUAAAAACAUAAUGUUAAAGUUCUUAUAUUGUGCUUUUUGGCUUUUUCCUUUUACUUUAUUGUGAUAUAUAGCUUUUUUUCUGCAUGUUAUAGGUUUACAAAGUGAAAAAGCCCAAAGUCCAUCCAAAGGGACUUACCAUCUCCAAACGAAAACACUGUUCACAAACUGCUCCAAACAGCUCUAUUGUAUUCCAGCUUUUACUUCAGUGAUGAACGUGCAUCACUUUAUAACACACAUUAUAAUGCUCCCCUAGCUGCUAGUGUGACACACCCUCAUACUCUGCUUCUGACUGGAUAGUAGUCCUUACCUAGCCACUGCGCAUGUGCGACUCCAAACAUAGAGGGAAUAGAAGUUUGAUGCCUCGCUCGGUAGCCCUUAACACACAGGGUGAAAAGCGGAGUUGCAGUACAACAAAAAUAUUAUGUUUUUGAAAAUUAAACCAUGUAACCUAUUUAGAUAUAACCUCUAAAUACUAUUAUGAACCUAGCAUAAUAUGAGCUCUUUAUUGCCACUUAUAAACUGGUACUUCUUAUUGAAUGGUAGUGUAAGUUAUUGGACUGUUAAGGAUACUCAUGGUACAUUUACGAAGCACAUUCUAAUUUAAGUUUAUCAGUGCUUGAAUAACUCUAAUUCAUUCAGUAAUAAUUACAGCCAGGUGGCAUAACAUUAGCAGAGAGCUGGAAGGACAUUAGAGAGUUAUUGUUGUAGCCAUGUAAGUAGAAAUAUUUUGUGAAUGUGAACAAAGUCACUGACCCCUGUUAAAGAGUGGGUGUACUGUAGAUACACAGUAGACCUAACAAAACCAUGGUAUGUCUGAAAUCCCAAGGUGGUUAGGCAAAGAGAAACACAGUGGAAACUAAACACAACUAAAAUUAUGAAUGACAGUCACAAUAAAGUGUUAUAUUAUUGUUAAAGGCCUUUGUUGUAUUGGAAACUACCAAGUUUUAACACUUCAAGUACCACUAUACAAAGACAUGUGAUCCAUUUACAACACAGUACUUGCUGAUAUUCUUUUUUGUUUAAACAAUGUUUUAUAUUGCAAUAAAAAUAUACAUUGGAAUAUGCAACUCCUCUGCUCAGAGCCACAGUGCCACAGGUCACUUUAGGCUGACUAGGUUGUAUGAGUUUCUGGGAAAGGUUGGGAAUUAGAAAUUUAAAUUUUGUUGUACCAUUUUACCAUUUUGUUAUACCAUUUUUCUGUAUUCUGUUCUUUGCUAAACUAGCAGUAAAUGGCUCCUUUGUUAAGUAAAUACCAAAAAUGUAUAUUAAGUCGAUGAUAACGAUUUCUCUUAUGUCGUUCAUCACUAUAUAGUCCCUCACCAAAUUUAUGUUUGAGCCUUUUUUACAUACAGUGUUUGUCAUACAGUAUUAAACUGUUUAACUGCUGCCAACCCUUAUGGUUUAGUAACACAGACCAUCCAAAGAAUCUUUUUUAAUAACAAUAUUAAAGUGACAAUCAGUCCUUUGAAGAACAAUAUUAAAAACAGAACCAUGAUGUUGAUAAUAUAUAUUUAUUAUUUAUUCACAUUUUGAUGUGAAAAUACCUUCAUUCUUAAUUAAAUAAUUUCUUUGCUGAUUAAGAUGAACAAUGAUUGACAUUAACUGUUAUUGAUUAAGCUAUAGUGUGUAGUUUCUGUCUCCCCCAUGAGGAAUUCUAAGUAACGACGACAACACUGUCAGUGCAUCCACAUGAUACAGCUUUCCGUGAUUGCACAUGCUCCCCCCACCCCUCCUCCAUGCAGUUGCAAGUAGCCAAGGAGAAAGUCCCCAGAUGACUCAAUCUUGUGAACAUAGUCAUACUGAGAAAUACAGAGAGUUGUGUGGAGCUGAUAGUCUUAAUUAGCUUUGUAGCAACUUGGCUUGAAUGUUCAUUAAUAUCAAAUAUCAAAGUUACGUAAUAAAGCUUUAACAGUCUGUGUCUACUAUUUGAAGUAUUAUCAAUAAUCAUGAUACCUGUUGUGUAGCAAUGGCCUGCUUAAUAAUUUAUUUUGAGUUAUUGUUAAUAUACUGUAUGUUACAACAACAAGCCAAAAUGUCUACACAUUGAUGGUUGAUACACUUCAUUUAAUGGGGACAGACUUGAAAAAUAAAGCAUUACUGUGAUACGAUUAGAAUACAUACGGUGAGUCAGGUAUACCUUUAACCAGAUUUAUUAAUGGGUUAUUAAUUGCAAUUGAGUGCUUAGUUAAUACAAUUACAUUCUGUAGAUUAUUUCUGCAGAAAAUUUAGGGGGUUUAUCUCUCACAUUUAGAUAUAGAUCAAAUGUUUGCAUGGGUUGGAUGAUGUUGGUCACUUGCAUUAUUUUCAGAUAACUGCACAUCUAUGAUGCUGUCUCAUCGUCAGCAUUUUAAAUUUACAACUAGGACACUACUACUUUUUGUAAUCAUGCAGUGGCCGUUUGUUCCAGACCAGGAAAGGUUCCACUUAAAUGUUGAAUGCCCUAAAAUAUGCUAAAUUGUACUUUUGAUUGUUUUAUUUUGAAUUCUAAAAAGUAGCCACGUCUACGAAAUCAACUCAGACCUAUAGGUUUAUGAAAAAUAACAUUUGUAGACGCCGACAGUGAGAUUAGCUUUCAUGUUGUGUUUAAAAACUAUAUUUCUCUGAGAUUAUUAUGUUCUGUGUUCUUUAUUAUGUUUUUCAGAUGUUUUUAGUUAAUUUAAAGCUGCUGGUGUGUGAAUAGUGCUUUCAAACUAUAUUUCAUGCCCUUUUAAAUCAGCCACUGCUGAUAACAGACGUGAUGCUGUGUCGAAUGUAUCAAUGUAUUUGAAUAAAAGGUUUAGAUUAUUUGAAAUAUAAAUUAAGUUUACGUUGGGAGAAGAAAAAAUUGUCUUAAAUCUGUUUCAACCCUGAUAACUGGAUUUAGCAUAACUUGUUUUUGUCAUGAUGUAAGUGUGGUGCAUGCAGAUAUUUGCUGGUUUAGUUUUGCUAAUUUGGAUGUUGGAGUAAAAUAUUGUAUAAAGUGUGAAUAUUCAGUCUGACAGAAUUCAGUGGAUUCUAGAAGUUGAAGUCAGUGUGUAAAAUAAUUUUGCAAACUCAGUCUCAACAAGGCUGCAGUGUGGUGCCUGAAGGAUAAGAACUUAAUAAAAAGCUCCAAUCCUAUUUUUUCCCAGGAUUCCACUGAAACUCCAUCAGAAACAGCAAUGACGUGUCUUCUUCAUUCCAUCACUGGGAAAUUAAUGAUGUCUACUAUCUACAUGAAAAUAGCUUCAUCUUUUUUUGUAUAAUAAUGACACAGAUGAAAGCGAGCAUAUGGACCCUUUGUUCAGUAUAGGAAUCCACUUACUAGUUUUUAAUUGUCUUACCAUACCAUCAGGAUAUAGCAACUAAAGAGUUAUAGUAGAUAUUCAGUGUCAAUCCUUAUUAAAGGGAGAUUAACUCAAAACCAAACCAACAGUGGGAAAUCAGUUAUUUUAUAUAGGCAUCUCUAAAAUUCAUGGAACUGAAGUAGCAAAAUGUAAAAAAAAUUGAUAUGAUUAUUUAAAUAUGUAAA